AAAGCAACUUUCAGGCAGAGUGGAACAGUUGGUUCAGAUACUUGGUUAAUGCGGCUAGCUGAAAAGCUAGUGCCGCGACGCUACCAUCUGUUGGAUUAUGACUGAACGAUUGACUGAACGAUUCUGACUUAGAGGCGUUCAGUCAUAAUCCAU
rnacentral:ncRNA from 1 species